UACAGAGGUCUCAAGCGUUGUUCGGAAUUACUGGGCGUAAAGGGUGCGCAGGCCGCGCGGGCAGUCAAAUGUGUAAUUCAGGGGCUCAACCCCUGCACUGCGCUUGAUACUUCCGCGCUCGAGCUUUGGAGAGGAGUCUGGAAUUCUCGGUGUAGCAGUGAAAUGCGUGGAUAUCGAGAAGAACACUUAGGGCGAAGGUAAGACUCUGGACAAAUGCUGACGCUCAUGCACGAAGGCUAGGGUAGCGAACGGG
rnacentral:rRNA from 1 species